rnacentral:lncRNA from 1 species
CAACAAUUGCGGUUGCUUAUCAACCUUACGAAUAUUCCUCUCCACCAAAGCACCCUGCCUACAAACAUUAUUCUCCUUACUAUUACAAUUCACCACCUCCUUACUACUACAAGUCUCCACCUCCACCAUCUCCCUCACCACCUCCUCCUUACUAUUACAAAUCACCACCACCCCCUUCACCUAGUCCCCCACCACCAUACUACUACAACUCACCACCUCCACCAUCUCCUUCACCACCUCCUCCUUACUAUUACAAGUCUCCACCCCCACCCUCACCUAGUCCCCCACCACCAUACUACUACAAGUCACCACCUCCACCGUCUCCCUCACCACCUCCUCCUUACUAUUACAAAUCACCACCACCCCCUUCACCUAGUCCCCCACCACCAUACUACUACAACUCACCACCUCCACCAUCUCCCUCACCACCUCCUCCUUACUACUACAAAUCACCACCACCACCUUCACCUAGUCCUCCACCACCAUACUACUACAAGUCACCACCUCCACCAUCUCCCUCACCACCUCCUCCUUACUACUACAAAUCACCACCCCCACCUUCACCUAGUCCUCCACCACCCUACUACUACAAGUCUCCACCUCCACCAUCCCCUAGUCCCCCACCACCAUACUACUACAAAUCACCACCCCCACCAUCUCCUAGCCCUCCACCACCAUAUUACUACAGGUCCCCACCUCCACCAUCUCCUAGUCCACCAUCACCGUACUACUACAAGUCACCACCACCCCCUUCACCUAGUCCCCCACCACCAUACUACUACAAGUCACCGCCUCCACCAUCUCCUAGUCCCCCACCACCAUACUCUUACAAGUCACCACCACCACCAUCUCCCUCACCACCACCUCCAUACUACUACAAAUCUCCUCCUCCACCGUCUCCAUCACCCCCUCCUCCUUACUACUACAAAUCACCACCACCUCCUUCUCCAUCACCCCCGCCACCUUACUAUUAUAAGUCACCUCCUCCACCACCUCCUUAUCACUACUAGUCACCUCUCCUUGAGUGAAAUUUCCACCUCAUUAUUACCCUACAUCACCACAGUUUCAAAGGGCCACUAAGCUAAGUUAAUAUUUAAUCUCUUUACACGGGUUGAAGAUUUGACAAGGAAGAAGAAUAAUUGUGGAAUUUCUUUGAUAAGCUUCUUGAACAUGUUUUUCAGUAUUCUUCAUUUAUAUAUGUAAAUUGU